rnacentral:snRNA from 1 species
GUACUUGCUUUGACAGCCCACACAGUAACAUUUGCAAUGUACAGGGAAGAUUAACUGACCUGCUGCACAAAGAUGACACACAAAUUUAUGAAGAUGGUACUUUUUAU